rnacentral:misc_RNA from 1 species
ACACCUCAACUCUCAUGGUUCGCCAUGAUGAGCUUGGACUUUGGGGGUCUUGCUGGCCUAUGGUCAGCUCCUCUAAAAUGAAUCAGCUUGCCAGUGUUUGGUGGCAUCACAGGUGUGAUAACUAUCUAUGCUUGUGGAUUUCCAUCAGAUAACCUUCAGUGAUGAAGGUUCGCUGGGGCUCACAAAUGUCUCUCCUCAGUGGAGACUGCUCUUUUGAAU